UUUGGCGGACGGGUGAGUAAUACAUCGGAAUCUACUCUGUCGUGGGGGAUAACGUAGGGAAACUUACGCUAAUACCGCAUACGACCUACGGGUGAAAGCAGGGGAUCUUCGGACCUUGCGCGAUUGAAUGAGCCGAUGUCGGAUUAGCUAGUUGGCGGGGUAAAGGCCCACCAAGGCGACGAUCCGUAGCUGGUCUGAGAGGAUGAUCAGCCACACUGGAACUGAGACACGGUCCAGCCUCCUACGGGAGGCAGCAGUGGGGAAUAUUGGACAAUGGGCGCAAGCCUGAUCCAGCCAUACCGCGUGGGUGAAGAAGGCCUUCGGGUUGUAAAGCCCUUUUGUUGGGAAAGAAAUCCAGCUGGCUAAUACCCGGUUGGGAUGACGGUACCCAAAGAAUAAGCACCGGCUAACUUCGUGCCAGCAGCCGCGGUAAUAAU
rnacentral:rRNA from 1 species